rnacentral:rRNA from 1 species
AAUAGAUACCCAGGUAGUCCACACCGUAAACGUUGGGCGCUAGGUGUGGGAUCCAUUCCACGGGUUCCGUGCCGUAGCUAACGCAUUAAGCGCCCCGCCUGGGGAGUACGGCCGCAAGGCUAAAACUCAAAGGAAUUGACGGGGGCCCGCACAAGCGGCGGAGCAUGCGGAUUAAUUCGAUGCGACGCGAAGAACCUUACCAAGGCUUGACAUACACCAGAACACCCUAGAAAUAGGGGACUCUUUGGACACUGGUGAACAGGUGGUGCAUGGUUGUCGUCAGCUCGUGUCGUGAGAUGUUGGGUUAAGUCCCGCAACGAGCGCAACCCUCGUUCUAUGUUGCCAGCACGUAAUGGUGGGAACUCAUGGGAUACUGCCGGGGUCAACUCGGAGGAAGGUGGGGAUGACGUCAAAUCAUCAUGCCCCUUAUGUCUUGGACUUCACGCAUGCUACAAUGGCCGGUACAAAGGGCUGCAAUACCGUGAGGUGGAGCGAAUCCCAAAAAGCCGGUCCCAGUUCGGAUUGAGGU